rnacentral:rRNA from 1 species
CGGACGGAUGAGUAACACGUGGGUAACCUACCAAUAAGACUGGAAUAACUCCGGGAAACCGGGGCUAAUGCCGGAUAACAUUUAGAACCGCAUGGUUCUAAAGUGAAAGAUGGUUUUGCUAUCACUUAUAGAUGGACCCGCGCCGUAUUAGCUAGUUGGUAAGGUAACGGCUUACCAAGGCAACGAUACGUAGCCGACCUGAGAGGGUGAUCGGCCACACUGGAACUGAGACACGGUCCAGACUCCUACGGGAGGCAGCAGUAGGGAAUCUUCCGCAAUGGGCGAAAGCCUGACGGAGCAACGCCGCGUGAGUGAUGAAGGUCUUCGGAUCGUAAAACUCUGUUAUUAGGGAAGAACAAAUGUGUAAGUAACUAUGCACGUCUUGACGGUACCUAAUCAGAAAGCCACGGCUAACUACGUGCCAGCAGCCGCGGUAAUACGUAGGUGGCAAGCGUUAUCCGGAAUUAUUGGGCGUAAAGCGCGCGUAGGCGGUUUCUUAAGUCUGAUGUGAAAGCCCACGGCUCAACCGUGGAGGGUCAUUGGAAACUGGGAAACUUGAGUGCAGAAGAGGAAAGUGGAAUUCCAUGUGUAGCGGUGAAAUGCGCAGAGAUAUGGAGGAACACCAGUGGCGAAGGCGACUUUCUGGUCUGUAACUGACGCUGAUGUGCGAAAGCGUGGGGAUCAAACAGGAUUAGAUACCCUGGUAGUCCACGCCGUAAACGAUGAGUGCUAAGUGUUAGGGGGUUUCCGCCCCUUAGUGCUGCAGCUAACGCAUUAAGCACUCCGCCUGGG